rnacentral:rRNA from 1 species
AUUGAACGCUGGCGGCAUGCUUUACACAUGCAAGUCGAACGGUAACAGGUUAAGCUGACGAGUGGCGAACGGGUGAGUAAUGCAUCGGAACGUGCCCGAUCGUGGGGGAUAACGCAGCGAAAGCUGCGCUAGUACCGCAUACGAUCUGAGGAUGAAAGCGGGGGACCGUAAGGCCUCGCGCGAUCGGAGCGGCCGAUGUCAGAUUAGGUAGUUGGUGGGGUAAAGGCUCACCAAGCCAACGAUCUGUAGCUGGUCUGAGAGGACGACCAGCCACGCUGGGACUGAGACACGGCCCAGACUCCCACGGGAGGCAGCAGUGGGGAAGUUUGGACAAAGGGCGAAAGCCUUAUGCAGCAAUGCCGCGUGCAGGAAGUAGGCCUUCGGGUUGUAAACUUCUGUUGUACGGAGCGAAAAGGCCCGCUCUAAUACCUUGGGCUCAUGACGGUACCGUAAGAAUAAGCACCGGCUAACUACGUGCCAGCCGCCGCUGUAA